rnacentral:rRNA from 1 species
UACGGAGGGUGCGAGCGUUAAUCGGAAUUACUGGGCGUAAAGCGCACGCGGGCGGUUUGUUAAGCUAGAUGUGAAAGCCCCGGGCUCAACCUGGGAUGGUCAUUUAGAACUGGCAGACUAGAGUCUUGGAGAGGGGAGUGGAAUUCCAGGUGUAGCGGUGAAAUGCGUAGAUAUCUGGAGGAACAUCAGUGGCGAAGGCGACUCCCUGGCCAAAGACUGACGCUCAUGUGCGAAAGUGUGGGUAGCGAACGGG